AACGAUGACUUUUGUGCUUGCCAAAAUGAUUAGUGGCGAACGGGUGAGUAACACGUGAGUAACCUGCCCUUAACUUCGGGAUAAGCCUGGGAAACCGGGUCUAAUACCGGAUACGACGGACCACCGCAUGGCGGUCCGUGGAAAGCUUGAUGCGGUUUUGGAUGGACUCGCGGCCUAUCAGCUAGUUGGUUGGGGUAAUGGCCCACCAAGGCGACGACGGGUAGCCGGCCUGAGAGGGUGACCGGCCACACUGGGACUGAGACACGGCCCAGACUCCUACGGGAGGCAGCAGUGGGGAAUAUUGCACAAUGGGCGAAAGCCUGAUGCAGCGACGCCGCGUGAGGGACGAAGGCCUUCGGGUUGUAAACCUCUUUCAGCAGGGAAGAAGCGAAAGUGACGGUACCUGCAGAAGAAGCGCCGGCUAACUACGUGCCAGCAGCCGCGGUAAUACGUAGGGCGCAAGCGUUAUCCGGAAUUAUUGGGCGUAAAGAGCUCGUAGGCGGUUUGUCGCGUCUGCUGUGAAAGCCCGGGGCUCAACCCCGGGUCUGCAGUGGGUACGGGCAGACUAGAGUGCAGUAGGGGAGACUGGAAUUCCUGGUGUAGCGGUGAAAUGCGCAGAUAUCAGGAGGAACACCGAUGGCGAAGGCAGGUCUCUGGGCUGUAACUGACGCUGAGGAGCGAAAGCAUGGGGAGCGAACAGGAUUAGAUACCCUGGUAGUCCAUGCCGUAAACGUUGGGCACUAGGUGUGGGGGACAUUCCACGUUUUCCGCGCCGUAGCUAACGCAUUAAGUGCCCCGCCUGGGGAGUACGGCCGCAAGGCUAAAACUCAAAGGAAUUGACGGGGGCCCGCACAAGCGGCGGAGCAUGCGGAUUAAUUCGAUGCAACGCGAAGAACCUUACCAAGGCUUGACAUGAACCGGAAAGGCCUGGAAACAGGUCCCCCACUUGUGGCCGGUUUACAGGUGGUGCAUGGUUGUCGUCAGCUCGUGUCGUGAGAUGUUGGGUUAGUCCCCCAACGAGCGCAACCUUCGUUCUAUGUUGCCAGC
rnacentral:rRNA from 1 species